GUCUCCCAAGGAACAGAACAGAGCAGAUACCAACUGGCACAGCAUGACUGUUUUCAGUAACAGAACUCCACUUCUCACAAAACACAACAGUCACCAUUUCUGUGAUUCACACAAAAGCCUGCUUAUAUGAUGUACGAACAAUAAACAGAAAGCUAUAAUCAUGUUUUUUCAGAUGUUUCCGGUGCACAACGAUUUUGGAUCAAUACCCUGUGUAAUACAAUUAUCUGCAAUGAUCUGGUUGUAUUGAAAAAGAAUUUGCAGCAGACCUCUAGGGGGUUUUAUCCAGAAACACGUAUCUGGCAAUGUUGUGAAUAGUGGAAGAGAAAAUUAAGGGGUUGACACAGGCUGUCUAUUAUGUUCCAAAUGACUUCAUUAAUAUUUUAUUUGCUAAAAGUAGUAUAUUUCAAGCUCUGCUAUACUGUGACUUCAAAAUAUUAAUAAUGCAAUUUCCUUGUUGCAUUUGCUUAUUUUGAAAACUAGUUCUAGCACAGAUGUUCAGCGUAAAAGUCAAAAGUGCCAACCAAAAAUUAUUUAAGCAGUUUAUUCCCCAUAAUUGAAUGAUUGCUUGGUUUUUGUAUCUUAUUUUGCUUUUGUGAACAUUAUUCUCUUGAAAAAAAAUCUAUAUUCAUUAGUGCGCUACUACUAAAGCUGUUAACUUAUCUAUACUGGGGAUUAAUCAUAUCAGUUUAAAAAGUCACCUAAAAUAUUAACAAUGAUAUCAAACUUGUUAAGUUCAAAUUACACUUUGCAUUACA